rnacentral:rRNA from 1 species
UACGUAGGGUGCAAGCGUUAAUCGGAAUUACUGGGCGUAAAGCGUGCGCAGGCGGUUAUGUAAGACAGAUGUGAAAUGCCCGGGCUUAACCUGGGAACUGCAUUUGUGACUGCAUGGCUAGAGUUUGGCAGAGGGGGGGUAGAAUUCCACGUGUAGCAGUGAAAUGCGUAGAUAUGUGGAGGAACACCGAUGGCGAAGGCAGCCCCCUGGGUCA